GGUCUCAUAGUCUAGUUGGUUAGGACAUUCGGUUCUGAUACAAGCUGUCUUGAGUCUUAACUCCGAAUAGCCUGGGUUCGAAUCCCAGUGAGACCU